rnacentral:rRNA from 1 species
GAUGAACGCUGGCGGCGUGCCUAAUACAUGCAAGUCGAGCGAACAGACGAGGAGCUUGCUCCUCUGACGUUAGCGGCGGACGGGUGAGUAACACGUGGAUAACCUACCUAUAAGACUGGGAGAACUUCGGGAAACCGGAGCUAAUACCGGAUAAUAUAUUGAACCGCAUGGUUCAAUAGUGAAAGACGCUUUUGCUGUCACUUAUAGAUGGAUCCGCGCCGCAUUAGCUAGUUGGUAAGGUAACGGCUUACCAAGGCGACGAUGCGUAGCCGACCUGAGAGGGUGAUCGGCCACACUGGAACUGAGACACGGUCCAGACUCCUACGGGAGGCAGCAGUAGGGAAUCUUCCGCAAUGGGCGCAAGCCUGACGGAGCAACGCCGCGUGAGUGAUGAAGGUCUUCGGAUCGUAAAACUCUGUUAUUAGGGAAGAACAAAUGUGUAAGUAAAUAUGCACGUCUUGACGGUACCUAAUCAGAAAGCCACGGCUAACUACGUG